CCUACGGGAGGCAGCAGUGAGGAAUAUUGGUCAAUGGGCGCUAGCCUGAACCAGCCAAGUAGCGUGAAGGAUGACUGCCCUAUGGGUUGUAAACUUCUUUUAUAUGGGAAUAAAAUGAAGCAUGUAUACUUCUUUGCAUGUACCUUAUGAAUAAGGAUCGGCUAACUCCGUGCCAGCAGCCGCGGUAAUACGGAGGAUCCGGGCGUUAUCCGGAUUUAUUGGGUUUAAAGGGAGCGUAGAUGGGUUGUUAAGUCAGUUGUGAAAGUUUGCGGCUCAACCGUAAAAUUGCAGUUGAUACUGGCAUUCUUGAGUACAGUAGAGGUAGGCGGAAUGCGUGGUGUAGCGGUGAAAUGCUUAGAUAUCACGAAGAACUCCGAUUGCGAAGGCAGCUUACUGAACUGUAACUGACGCUGAUGCUCGAAAGUGUGGGUAUCAAACAGGAUUAGAUACCCGGGUAGUC
rnacentral:rRNA from 1 species